GGUGAAUCCUUUUGGGUUUUGUAUUUUCAUAGUUUAUGAUUUGAAUGUUGUAAUUGUUACAAGCUUUAUUCUUUCUUCUUUGAAUGUAAAUUUUGUUAGAAAAUUUGUCAUCUCAAAUGUUGUAGAUGUAGUUCAUAUGAGCAUGAAUUUUUGAGCUAAAAUUUGGUGCCAUGUUUUUGGGGAAAUUCUGCCAAAUCCAAAGGGUGGAUUUUUUGGUUCAUGUUUGUCUUGUUAAAAGUGUUUUAAAGUGACAUUAGGAACCCCUAAGUACCCUAGUAUGGUAAUAUGUUUUUUCCCUUAAGUUUGAGAGUUUUUGGGGUGUCUUUGGGUGAAAAAUGUUCAUGGAGCUCUUUAUGGGUUUUUCAUGGAUGUUCUUCAUUGCUCUUGUUAUGUUCUAACCAAGAACAAAAAUGGUUUGGUGUUUUGAUUCAAAGUUUUGAUGUUUUUCAUAAAGUUUUGUUUAUGGUGAUUGGUGUGACUUUAUUGUAAUAAAUGGUAUGACAUGAUUUGUCAUUUUUCAAUCAACACCAUACCAAUCACUUACACCUUUUCCUUGUUUCAAGGAACCAUGUUUUAUGGAAAUCACUUUUUCAAACCUACCCAUCAUCUUUCACUUUUGUUGAAAAAUUCAAAAGUUUUAUGACACCAUCUCUCAUCCAAAACAGGCCACCCUAUUAAAUGGGAUACUUUUGGGGUUUUUAUGCAAUUACAUAAAGUUUUGAUACUUUUGUGUAUUUGUACUUUGACCCGAAAGUUUACGUUUUUACGUAAAGGCCCAAAAUCACUAAAGGACAAAUUGUUUUGCUCCUUUAAUGAAGUUUUUGCAUUUGUUGAAAUUUUUGGGUUCUAGUUGUAAUUACAUGAAGUAGUGGACUUUUGCGUUUUUACAAAGGGACCUCAAAAGUUUAUGUUUUGCAAUAUAGCCCAAUAGUUGAGGUUAUUGUUUUUCGGCCCAAAUUAGUUGAGAACAAAAUAGUUUUGUAUCUUUAAAUGAGAAUUGGAUUUUCAUUUCAUUUAGUUCCAUUUAAAUCAAUUCUAUGGUUACAAAAACCAAAUGAAAAUGUUGCAUUCAAGUUUAAUUAGUUAAAGCAUUAAUUAAUUAAAGAAAUGGUGAUUAUGAACCGAAGCCUACGAUAAUUGAGCUAUGUCAAAGGCCGUCUCAAAUUUGUUUGAACCAUGAGAAUGUGUAGAUUAGAUUUUGGUUGUAAUUUGAUAUGAUCAAAUAUUGUAAAAGAGCAUAAGCUCUUCUUUACUUUAAAGUAAUUUGUUUUGAUCAAAUGUUGUAAAAGAGCAUAAGCUCUUCUUUACUUUGAAGUACUUAUUUAUUACUUUAUUUGAUAUGCAUGAAAAUGAAGUAGAGGGUCCAAAGCCCAAUAAGAAAACACACCUUAAUGUGAUUAAACACGUAACUAAAAUCAAUCACCAUCCCUAGACCGAGAUUCAACACUAGGCUCGUCGAAUCAAAGGUUCAUAGUCAUCCUAAGGCCUUAAGGUAACUAUAUAGUCCAUCAAUGAAUGCAAACCUUAUGUUAGUAGUACCAUAUACUCUUGCUUUAAAAACCGUUUUACAAGCAUAGUGGGAGUAUCAUAUACAACUAAAUCAAUCACAUGGACCAAUAGUUG
rnacentral:lncRNA from 1 species